AGAAUUCAUCUAUAUGUAACCCUGAUCGAAAAAUCCCAACCAGUGGGACUCUUGACCCCGGUACCCAUAAUGUGUGGAACUCAUGAUCAGAGAAUCCUGAUUCUCGAUCACUGAGUCCCAAACAUGUAAGAUUCUACAUCAGCCAUCAGAUCAGAUAGAAACCUCUAAUGUGUGUGACCCCGCAGGUUCGAACCUAAGCCGGUAGCACAGGAACCAAUUCCUGUACUAAA
rnacentral:lncRNA from 1 species